rnacentral:rRNA from 1 species
UACGUAGGGAGCAAGCGUUGUCCGGAAUCAUUGGGCGUAAAGCGCGCGUAGGUGGCCCCAUAAGUCCGCUGUGAAAGUCAAAGGCUCAACCUUUGAAAGCCGGUGGAUACUGUGGGACUAGAGUACGGAAGAGGCGAGUGGAAUUCCUGGUGUAGCGGUGGAAUGCGCAGAUAUCAGGAGGAACACCAAUAGCGAAGGCAGCUCGCUGGGACGUUACUGACAGUGAGGCGCGAAAGCGUGGGGAGCGAACAGG